CUUCAAAAAAACAUUCAUGAGUUAUUGUGCAACGAAUUUCUUUAGUGUUCGCUACAUAAAAAAAGAAAAAUGAGUAAAUUUACUUUUAUAAUUCUUGUAAUGGUUUUAUGGACGUGUUUAAUCACAGCUCACCCAUUACCAGAUAAUGAAAAAUCUGAUUUAGUUCAAACUAAACUUGCAACGGAAACUUCCAAAACAGAUGAAGCUACAUCUAAAAUACGUAAAAAACGUGGUUUCUUCGAAUCAUACAGACACUGGAAAAAGUUUAGAGCAGCAUCUAAUUUUGCCGCAGUUGUGGGUUAAUAAAAUCGAUUAUUUAUAACUACAACUAUGUUCUUGUUAUCCUUUUUUGUAACCAUAUUUUUUUAAUAAACAUUUCUUGAAACUCAA